rnacentral:lncRNA from 1 species
AUGGAAAGUCACAGUAGGACAGGCAGGGAAUUUAUGUCUAUAUGUUUGGAGAACGGGGAUGGAGAAGAGGUUGGGAGGAAGAGUCAUCCCAGGGGGCCCAUUAACACUUUUCCAGAGCUCUCUUCACCAUACCACAAACCACAAACUCAUCCCACCAGAAUCAGGACACAAGAAAGAGGAAUCACAAGCCUGAAGACUGAUACAAGCAAUACAGAUCUUCCUAAGCCUAGAUUCAGAUUGGUAAGGAAACUUGGAGGUCUGCUAGUCCAAUUUACUUCCAUUAAAAAUGAAG